rnacentral:rRNA from 1 species
AUUGAACGCUGGCGGCAUGCUUUACACAUGCAAGUCGAACGGUAACAGGCCUUCGGGUGCUGACGAGUGGCGAACGGGUGAGUAAUGCAUCGGAACGUACCCAGAGGUGGGGGAUAACGCAGCGAAAGCUGUGCUAAUACCGCAUGUGAUCUGAGGAUGAAAGCGGGGGACCGAGCAGCAAUGUUUGGCCUCGCGCCUUUGGAGCGGCUGAUGUCGGAUUAGCCAGUUGGUGGGGUAAAGGCCUACCAAGGCGACGAUCCGUAGCUGGUCUGAGAGGACGACCAGCCACACUGGGACUGAGACACGGCCCAGACUCCUACGGGAGGCAGCAGUGGGGAAUUUUGGACAAUGGGCGCAAGCCUGAUCCAGCAAUGCCGCGUGCGUGAAGAAGGCCUUCGGGUUGUAAACCGCUGUUGGCAGGAACGAAACGGUGUCCGCUAAUACCGGGCGCUAAUGACGGUACCUACAGAAUAAGCACCGGCUAACUACGUG